rnacentral:rRNA from 1 species
AACGAACGCUGGCGGCAUGCCUAACACAUGCAAGUCGAACGAGACCUCCGGGUCUAGUGGCGCACGGGUGCGUAACGUGUGGGAACCUGCCCUUAGGUUCGGAAUAACUCCCUGUAAGGGGUGCUAAUACAGGAUAAUGUCCUCGGACCAAAGAUUUAUCGCCUUUGGAUGGGCCCGCGUUGGAUUAGCUAGUUGGUAGGGUAAAAGCCUACCACGGCGACGAUCCAUAGCUGGUUUGAGAGGAUGAUCAGCCACACUGGGGGUGAGACACGGCCCAGACUCCUGGGGGAGGCGGGAGAGGGGGAUAUUGGACAAUGGGCGGGGGCCUGAAGCAGCAAUGCCGGUUGAGUGAUGAAGGCCGUAGGGUUGUAAAGCUCUUUUACCCGGGAUGAUAAUGACGGUACCGGGAGAAUAAGCACCGGCUAACUCCGUG